UGGUGGUGGUGCCACUACUGCUGCUCCUAAAGGUACUGGUGGUGGUGGUGGCGGUGGCGAUGAUAUGGGUACUGAAGAAGAUCCAGAUGUUCAUGGAGACGAAACUGGUGGUGUUGAGGCAACAACUCUUUACGGAGAAGAUACCACAUCAACUGGCUCCAGUGAUGCUGCUAAUUCUCUACUGAUGGUGUGCAGUACAGGGUUGAUUAUGAUGAAUAUCAUUCAGACAUGGCUCAAGUGAUCCUGUUUCCCUGGUACUCUUCACUGAAAUUUAAAUAUUUCUAGUUUAUACCUUAUGGAAAAAUUCUAAAUUAUUAAAACAUUUCAAAAUCAAGUA